UGCCCAGCCAUUUCCAUGUAAGGCAAGUCAGGUGGGGUCGAGACAGAAAAUCUUCCAACUCGAUGUGUUGUUUCAGAAACUGCAUUUAAAAGUUCACCAACACUCAGAAGCGUGCCAGCUGAUCACCAGGAUCUUUCUGACCUUCAGAUGUACUAGGUACAGGACUAUCAUCUAUUGUGAAUAGUGGGGGCUCGGUCUUCUCAGAAUAUUUGUCUUCUGAUACUGGCUCAGACUUUUCCCCUGGCAUCUCCAUGAAUAAAUCAACUCCCAGUGGGCAU
rnacentral:misc_RNA from 1 species